ACUCCUACGGGAGGCAGCAGUGGGGAAUCUUGCACAAUGGACGAAAGUCUGAUGUAGCAACGCCGCGUGUGUGACGAAGGCCCGAGGGUCGUAAAGCACUGUCAGGAGGGAAGAACACAAUGACGGUACCUCCAAAGGAAGCACCGGCUAACUCCGUGCCAGCAGCCGCGGUAAUACGGAGGGUGCGAGCGUUGUUCGGAAUCAUUGGGCGUAAAGCGCACGUAGGCGGCUGUAUAAGUCUGGUGUGAAAGCCCGGGGCUCAACCUCGGAAUGCCAUCGGAAACUGUACAGCUUGAGAGCGAGGAGGGGUCAGUGGAAUCCUGGUGUAGGAGUGAAAUCCGUAGAGAUCAGGAGGAACACCGGCGGCGAAGGCGACUGACUGGAUCGCGUCUGACGCUGAUGUGCGAAAGCGUAGGUAGCAAACAGGAUUAGAUACCCUGGUAGGAUAGCGU
rnacentral:rRNA from 1 species